rnacentral:rRNA from 1 species
AGGACGAACGCUGGCGGCGUGCUUAACACAUGCAAGUCGAGCGGAAAGGCCCUUCGGGGUACUCGAGCGGCGAACGGGUGAGUAACACGUGAGCAAUCUGCCCUUAGCUUCGGGAUAGCCCCCGGGAAACCGGGAUUAAUACCGAAUACGACCUCGGCCGACAUCGGCUUUGGUGGAAAGUUUUUCGGCUAGGGAUGAACUCGCGGCCUAUCAGCUUGUUGGUGGGGUAAUGGCCUACCAAGGCGACGACGGGUAGCCGGCCUGAGAGGGCGACCGGCCACACUGGGACUGAGACACGGCCCAGACUCCUACGGGAGGCAGCAGUGGGGAAUAUUGCGCAAUGGGCGAAAGCCUGACGCAGCGACGCCGCGUGGGGGAUGAAGGCCUUCGGGUUGUAAACCCCUUUCAGCAGGGACGAAGCGAGAGUGACGGUACCUGCAGAAGAAGCGCCGGCUAACUACGUGCCAGCAGCCGC